UCUGCUCCGAUGCUCUAGAUUACGCGAAGACCUUACCAGGGUUUGACAUCCUGCGAAUCUCCUGGAAACGGGAGAGUGCCUUCGGGAACGCAGUGACAGGUGGUGCAUGGCUGUCGUCAGCUCGUGUCGUGAGAUGUUGGGUUAAGUCCCGCAACGAGCGCAACCCACGUCUUUAGUUGCCAGCAUUCAGUUGGGCACUCUAGAGAGACCGCCGGUGAUAAACCGGAGGAAGGUGUGGAUGACGUCAAGUCAUCAUGCCCCUUACAUCCUGGGCUACACACGUACUACAAUGCUACGGACAAAGGGCAGCAAACUCGCGAGAGCUAGCAAAUCCCAUAAACCGUGGCUCAGUUCAGAUCGUAGGCUGCAACUCGCCUACGUGAAGGAGGAAUCGCUAGUAAUCGCAGGUCAGCAUACUGCGGUGAAUACGUUCCCGGGUCUUGUA
rnacentral:rRNA from 1 species